UACGUAGGGUGCAAGCGUUAAUCGGAAUUACUGGGCGUAAAGCGUGCGCAGGCGGUUUUGUAAGACAGAUGUGAAAUGCCCGGGCUUAACCUGGGAACUGCAUUGUGACUGCAAGGCUAGAGUUUGGCAGAGGGGGGUAGAAUUCCACGUGUAGCAGUGAAAUGCGUAGAGAUGUGGAGGAAUACCGAUGGCGAAGGCAGCCCCCUGGGACA
rnacentral:rRNA from 1 species